CACACAACCCACGCACAGCGCGCACAGAGGGUGCCUUCACUCCGUUUGCUCUUCGUUCGUCUCUCUCGGGUUCUCCACUCCACGUUCUUCACCGCGUGCGCACCCGCCUCCACCUCCCACACGCACUUCAAUGUGCUCAUGCGUCAACAUGACCUAGCGAGGAAUGGAUGGCGAAUCUUGUUCGAUUCGCCAAGAUCAGCGCGGGCACCCCACGGAUGUCCUGGGUUGUCGCCGACGUGGCAGAGGCCUGCGUACGGCAGCACGGUUUGAUGUGCGGCGCCGCUCCACGGCAGCCACCGCAGCACUUCCUACACGGGCAGACGCGGCGGACGGCGGCCGUGGCCGGGCUGACAGGUGUGUGCCGCUGUCUGUCUACUGCAGCGCCGAGGUCGGGGCCCCUCUCGACUCCUGUAUCACCGAGCUCGUCCCCGUCGCCCAAGCAGGACCCGCCUGCCGCCCCCCGACAGUCCGUGCAAACCGCGAGCCUCACACUAACAGCGGAAUCGGUGUGGGAAACGGUCCCACACUGGUGCGAGCUGUGUUGUGAGCCCGUUAACAGCUGGCACAACCACAUGGGCAAGCGCGACCAUAUUUGUCUCGAGAUGAUCCUAAACUCCGUAGUCGGCAGCAAAGGACUCUGGGAAUCCGACAAAGUGUGGGACAGCAUUGAGCUGUUUCGAAGUCACUACACGAAGCGGCCACACGGGCAGCCACGAACGCCUUCGCCGAUUGUGCAACGCCUCUUGAAGGAGGGGCUCUACGUGCCAGGUCCCGAUCACCCGCUUGGCAUAUUCUACGACGCCUUCGACCGUGGUGACCCGUACGCGCGGCGGGAGGAGCUGCAUCUGCUGCUCUUGUACUUGAAGGAAUGUGGGAUGCUGUGCCUCACCCCCGACGUGUUCCCUCCAGCGAUCUUUCAAGGGCACUUGCUCUUACACAGCGAAGUGGUACCGGUGUUGACGCGCAUCUUCCCAGACGGGGAGGUGCGCGGAAUCUCGGCACUGUCGCAGAUGAUAACAUGCACCUAUGGGCUGGCAGCAGCGUAUGAAACGUGUGGGAUGGAGCGGCUGGUGCCGGUCUCCUUGCUGCAACACCGAGGGUUGAGCCCAGAGCUCAUUUCAGUUUUAUCGUCGGUAGAGGAGUUCGACGGCGUUGCGGCAAGCGAUGACGCGACGGGCGGCACCGGCGGCGAAGAGACUCUCGGCGAAGGCGCUGAAGGUGGGACUAGCGAUGCAGCCUUGUCGACCGGGCAAUCCAUGGCAAUGCGCUCCUUGAGCGCCGCCAUGCCCCGCGCCAUCCUUGGCUCCCUCCGCUGGGCCCUCGCUCCAGAGGAUACAAGCCCCCCGCCGAUCAUCUUUCAGGACCACAAGCACAACGCCUACCUGACCACCUUGGCAGCGCGCGCGGCACGCCUGCUCAUGUCCGAGCUGAUCUUUGAGCGCAUCUCCGAGUACGUAUAUCGUUUAGAGUACGUUCUGCGCACAGACUUCGGGCGCGAGUAUCUGAACCAUCGAUACGAAGCCCAUCGAGCGGCGGACAAGGCCAGCGGCCGCGCGGCCUCGCAGCGCUGGCUGCGCAAGCAGUGCAUUACCCCUACACUGUCGAACGAGGGAACUGUUGCCUAUACAAAUGGUGGGCUCGCCGCUCAUGGGCUUAACGGCACCGUGGCGGCUGAGUGUGCCGUUCGGAUGCACGACGAGGCUCGUAAGGCGCGCAUGCACAAUCGCCGCGGACUGCUGAAGGCGCCACCCAGCUCCCCUUUGGCCCGCAAUGUACGCUUUCGGUGAGACGGUCAAACGCCGCCGCUUCGGCGGCGGUGUGAUGCAUGCUCCAAAAACAGUGAAUCGCAUGCCGACAUGCACGUGGCGAACGGAGCGAACUUGCAGCGCCGCACUGUUGGCUUCGCCGUAGCUGGUGGUGCAAGUGGGGAUGCCGCGCGGCGUGCAUGGCCUAGUGCCUGUCGAGGGGUCGUGUAAGGGCAUUUGUCUUGUCCUUGUAGUGCCUUGAAAGUCGUGUGUUGAGCCCUUCGGAAAGGCGGCGGCGGACCGCAACAAUGCGCUGCGAGUUUUCGCAUGAAUGCCGAUAGUAG
rnacentral:misc_RNA from 1 species